rnacentral:misc_RNA from 1 species
GAUGAAGAACGUAGCGAAAUGCGAUACUUGGUGUGAAUUGCAGAAUCCCGUGAACCAUCGAGUCUUUGAACGCAAGUUGCGCCCGAAGCCAUUAGGCCGAGGGUACGCCUGCCUGGGCGUCACACGUCGUUGCCCCCCCAUCUACUCCUUCGGGAUUGCGGGGGGCGGAUGAUGGCCUCCCGUGCGCCUCGCCGCGCGGUUGGCAUAAAUGCCAAGUCCUCGGCGACGCACGCCACGACAAUCGGUGGUUGCGAAACCUCGGUUGCCCGUCGUGUGCGGUCGUCGCGCAUCGAGGGCUCGAAAAAAUUGCCGGGUUCCGGCUCGGCUUUCAACGCGACCCCAGGUCAGGCGGGGUUACCCGCUGAAUUUAAGCAUAUCAAUAAGCGGAGGA